rnacentral:rRNA from 1 species
UACGGGGGGGGCAAGCGUUGUUCGGAAUUACUGGGCGUAAAGGGCUCGUAGGUGGCCAACUAAGUCAGACGUGAAAUCCCCAGGCUCAACUUGGGAACUGCGUCUGAUACUGGAUGGCUUGAAUUCGGGAGAGGGAUGCAGAAUUCCAGGUGUAGCGGUGAAAUGCGUAGAUAUCUGGAGGAAUACCGGUGGCGAAGGCGGCAUCCUGGACCGGCAUCGACGCUGAGGAGCGAAAGCUAGGGGAGCAAACGGG